AUUGAACGCUGGCGGCAGGCCUAACACAUGCGAGUCGAACGAGUGGCGGACGGGUGAGUAAUGUCUGGGAAACUGCCUGAUGGAGGGGGAUAACUACUGGAAACGGUAGCUAAUACCGCAUACCAUCGGAUGUACCCAGAUGGGAUUAGCUAGUAGGUGGGGUAAAGGCUCACCUAGGCGACGAUCCCUAGCGGGUCUGAGAGGAUGACACGGCACUCUGGAACUGAGACCCGGUCCAGCGUCCUACGUGAGGCAGCAGUGGGGAAUAUUGCACAAUGGGCGCAAUCCGAAUGCAGCCAUGCCGCGUGUAGGAAGAAGGCCUUCGGGUUGUAAAGUACUUUCAGCGGGGAGUCGUUACCCGCAGAAGAAGCACCGGCAAACUCCGUGCCAGCAGCCGCGGUAAUUC
rnacentral:rRNA from 1 species